GAUUUUAUUUAAAAUAAAUAAAAGCUUAUUUAAAAAAGUUAAAAGGACGCGGUAACCUUGACCGUGAUAAUGUAGCAUAAUCAUUCGCCAUUUAAUUGAUGGAUAGUAUGAAUGGUUGAACGAAUAUUUCACUGUCUUAAAAAGAAUUACUUAAAAAUUAGAAUAAUAGUAAAGAUACUAUUUAAUAUUGUAAGACGAAAAGACCCUAUAGAGCUUAACUAUAAUCUUCUUAUAACAACAGAAAAAAUUUUAAUAAACAGGAAGAUUGGUAGUUUAGUUGGGGCGACUGUCUUUUAAAAUAAACAAAGACAAGCAAAGUAAAUAAAAAACUUAUUGUAUAAUACAUUAAUUUAACAAUUAUAAAUAUAGGCUAUAAUGACCCGUUAUAAAUAAAUAAAAAUUAUAACGAUCAAUAAAUAAAAGCUACCUUAGGGAUAACAGGAUAAUUUUAUUCUAGAGACCUAAUCGAAAAUAAAGUUUGUCACCUCUAUGUUGAAUUAAGAUAUCCAGGUAAUGCAGAAGU
rnacentral:rRNA from 1 species